AUGGCCGGCCGCAACUUGAGCGCUGCAGGAGCAAUGGAGGAGGAGGGGGAGCAUGUCAGGCCGCCCAAGAUCGACGUCGAGACGCUCUGCCUGCUGUACAUACUGCUUCUCAUGACGAUCUGGAUGUCCUCGUUUCGGCUCCGGUGGCCGGCCCUGGUCACCUACUACAUCCCGGCCAUGGAAGCCCUGGUCACCUGCUUCUUCUUCGCGUUCGUCACCGUCCAGCUGCAGGUGCUGCUUGCCAUCGCGCUGUCGGAGAAGCCCGAACCGUCGCUGCUUCCGCCUCCCGUGAACCAGUGGACCAUGGCCCUCACCGUGUGGCUGUUCGGGGUCCUCUACUACAUGAUCUACGCCUCCUUGAGCGACGGGUAUGCGGGCUACUUGGGCCUGAUCUUCGCCGGGGUCGCGAGUGUUGUGAGCCUCGCCAUGACCGUCUACAACAUGCUGCAGCGCCCCGUCUUUGCUUAG
rnacentral:rRNA from 1 species